rnacentral:rRNA from 1 species
UACGGAGGGUGCGAGCGUUGUCCGGAAUCAUUGGGCGUAAAGGGCGCGUAGGUGGCGGGACAAGCGUGCGGUGAAAGCCUGGAGCUCAACCCCGGGUCGGCCGUGCGAACUUUUUUGCUUGAGCACUGUAGAGGCAGGCGGAAUUCCGGGUGUAGCGGUGGAAUGCGUAGAGAUCCGGAAGAACACCGGUGGCGAAGGCGGCCUGCUGGGCAGUAGCUGACACUGAGGCGCGACAGCGUGGGGAGCAAACAGG